rnacentral:rRNA from 1 species
GACGAACGCUGGCGGCGUGCUUAACACAUGCAAGUCGAACGGAAAGGCCCCUUUGGGGGUACUCGAGUGGCGAACGGGUGAGUAACACGUGAGUAACCUGCCCUUGACUUCGGGAUAACUUCAGGAAACUGGGGCUAAUACCGGAUAGGAAUCCUUGCUGCAUGGUGGGGGUUGGAAAGCUUCGGCGGUUUUGGAUGGACUCGCGGCUUAUCAGCUUGUUGGUGGGGUAGUGGCUUACCAAGGCUUUGACGGGUAGCCGGCCUGAGAGGGCGACCGGCCACAUUGGGACUGAGAUACGGCCCAGACUCCUACGGGAGGAAGCAGUGGGGAAUAUUGCACAAUGGGCGGAAGCCUGAUGCAGCAACGCCGCGUGCGGGAUGACCGCCUUCGGGUUGAAGACCGCUUUCAGCAGGGGCGAAGCUUGUGGUGACGGUACCUGCAGAAGAAGCACCGGCUAACUACGUG